rnacentral:rRNA from 1 species
AGAGUUUGAUCCUGGCUCAGGAUGAACGCUGGCGGCGUGCCUAACACAUGCAAGUCGAGCGAGAUUUAGUGUAGUGGAGACUUCGGUCAAAGUGAAACUGAUGAAAGCGGCGGACGGGUGAGUAACGCGUGGGCAACCUGUCCCAUACAAAGGGAUAGCCACUGGAAACGGUGAUUAAUACCUUAUAAGUCGGUAGUCUCGCAUGAGACAGCCGACAAAGAUUUAUCGGUAUGGGAUGGGCCCGCGUUUGAUUAGCUAGUUGGUGAGGUAACGGCUCACCAAGGCGACGAUCAAUAGCCGACCUGAGAGGGUGAUCGGCCACACUGGGACUGAGACACGGCCCAGACUCCUACGGGAGGCAGCAGUGGGGAAUAUUGCACAAUGGGCGCAAGCCUGAUGCAGCGACGCCGCGUGAGGGAUGACGGCCUUCGGGUUGUAAACCUCUUUCAGUAGGGAAGAAGCGAGAGUGACGGUACCUGCAGAAGAAGCGCCGGCUAACUACGUGCCAGCAGCCGCGGUAAUACGUAGGGCGCAAGCGUUAUCCGGAAUUAUUGGGCGUAAAGAGCUCGUAGGCGGUUUGUCGCGUCUGCCGUGAAAGUCCGGGGCUCAACUCCGGAUCUGCGGUGGGUACGGGCAGACUAGAGUGAUGUAGGGGAGACUGGAAUUCCUGGUGUAGCGGUGAAAUGCGCAGAUAUCAGGAGGAACACCGAUGGCGAAGGCAGGUCUCUGGGCAUUAACUGACGCUGAGGAGCGAAAGCAUGGGGAGCGAACAGGAUUAGAUACCCUGGUAGUCC